GUUAGUUGAGGAUAGAAAGAGGCAGCUAUCACGCCAGAGAUGGUCUUAAAAGAGAUGUUGGGGUACGCCGUCCCACCAAUUAAU
ncrna:unclassified sequences skipping-rope RNA